AGCGAACGCUGGCGGCGUGCCUAACACAUGCAAGUCGAACGUGAAAAGGGAAACCUGAGUAAAGUGGCGUACGGGUGAGUAACGCGUAGGUAAUCUACCCCAGAAUCUGGAAUAACCUGCCGAAAGGCGGGCUAAUACUGGGUAGAGCGAGGGAACUCGUAAGAGAGUUUUUCGGGAAAGGGAGCCCGCAAGGGCCUUCGUUCUGGGAUGAGCCUGCGUCUCAUUAGCUAGUUGGUAAGGUAACGGCUUACCAAGGCGAUGAUGAGUAGCUGGUCUGAGAGGAUGAUCAGCCACACUGGAACUGAAACACGGUCCAGACUCCUACGGGAGGCAGCAGUGGGGAAUCUUGCGCAAUGGACGAAAGUCUGACGCAGCCACGCCGCGUGAGUGAAGAAGGCCUUCGGGUUGUAAAGCUCUGUCGGAUGGGACGAACAUCUUCAUAGUGAAUAGCUAUGAGGACUGACGGUACCAUCAAAGGAAGCACCGGCUAACUCCGUG
rnacentral:rRNA from 1 species